GACGUAGGGGGCAAGCGUUGUUCGGAAUCAUUGGGCGUAAAGCGCUCGUAGGCGGUCAGUUAAGUCGGGUGUGAAAACCCAGGGCUCAACCCUGGGCCUGCAUUCGAAACUGAUUGACUUGAGUCCAGAAGAGGCAAGUGGAAUUCCCGGUGUAGCGGUGAAAUGCGCAGAUAUCGGGAAGAACACCAGUGGCGAAGGCGGCUUGCUGGGAUGUGACUGACGCUGAGGAGCGAGAGCUAGGGGAG
rnacentral:rRNA from 1 species